rnacentral:lncRNA from 9 species
GUCGGCAGGCGAGGCUCAAGGUUCCCGGCGCUGGGCUGGAAGUGAGAAGGAUCAAAGGUAGCCUCUGGUGGGAGUGGUUUGGAGUCUGCUAAAGGGAGACAUUUCCGGGUUCGUUGGACGGAGGCACGUUUUGGUUUUGCUCAGGGAACGAAGGCAUGUCUACCGGGGAAGGGGGCAGCGAUCCGUUACCCGAGGGGAGAUAUCCUAGGGUCGGCUGGAAGGGCCAGGCCGAGGUUCUUGGGCCUAGUUGGGUCCCUAGAGGACGGAGGAAACUGUAAUCUCCUGGGAAGAGGGUUACAUUCUAAUCUGCUUAAAGCUCAUACCUGCAAGUUCCCUUAAGGCCUAAGUCCUAAUAUGUGCGCAAUGGCAAUAUAGAAAACAAAGGAGAGGUAGAAGAUAAGUUUAGGUUGUUGGUUAUGAGACGGAUUUGCAGUGCCUUCAGCAAGGAAUCAAGCCUUAGCCAUCCCUUACAAAAAUAAUUUUUAGGCAGACAAAAAGUAGGAAUAAGACUACAGUUAAUAUAUGUGUACCCACCACCCAACUGGAGAAAUCGUUAUUAUAUAAUUGAAGUCCUUUGCCUGCUCCGCUCAAUCCCAUUCUGUUCCCUAAUUAGUUGGAUGGUGCUAUUUUGCACACCUUUAACAAUUGGAAAUGUGUAUGUCUUUUGAUAGCUUUCUUUAACGUUAACGUAAGAUUUGUCAGUGUUAUGUAACUAGUUCAUUCAUUGUAACAGCUGAAGUUAUUCUCUUAUACAGUAAGGCACUAUCCACUUUCUUGCUUUGUUUCCCCCAUUCUGAGUAAUUGUAAAUACUUACAUAUUAGUUGAGUGGAUAAAUGCUGUAGUGUUUGAGCAAAAUCAUAAAGAAUGAGUGGGAUUUCGGAUGACUCAAGGCAACAGGAGGAGUUCUCACUGUGGCUCAGGUUAAGACCUGACAUAGUGUUCCUGAGGAUUGGAGUUGCAUCGCUGGCCUUGAUCAGUGGGUUAGUAAGUAUCCCGUGUCGCUGCAAGAUGUGACAUAGGUCGCUCCUUCCACUUGGGUAUUGCUGUGGUUGCUAGGCUGUAAACUGAAGCUCCAUUCAACCCCUAGCCUAGGAACGUUCAUAUGCCACAGGUGCAGCCAUUAAACACACACACACACACAAACACACAAACAGAAAGCAAGAGGAAGGUAUUCUGGCAAAGGAAUACCAGUCAGAACAAAAGCAGAAGUGUGAAAGUGUAUGAAGUAUUGUCAAGAACUUCCAUAGUCUUAGAGCUUAAAAUGUAGAACUGUUUGGAGAAGUCUGAGAGGUAGGAUGAAGCUGAAAUUUAAAGGACAGAUUUCCAGUCGUGGCUCAGCAGAAACAAAUCUGACUAAGAACCAUGAGGAUCCCUGGCCUCGCUCAGUGGGUCAGAUAUCCAGGCGUUGCUGUGAGUUGUGGUACUGGUCGCAGACUCGGCUCAGAUCUGUAGUUGUGGCUGUGGCUUAGCCAGUGGCUACAGCUCCAGUUUGACCCCUAGCCUGGGAACCUCCAUAUGCCACAGGUGCGGUCCCUAAAAAAACAAAAACAAAAGGACAUUGUCCUGAGAAGAUUAUACUAGCAAGAGCCAUUAAAGGUUUUUGAUCAGAGCUGUAUUUUUAGAAGAUAAUACUCAGAGCAUCAUGGAGAUACGUCUAAGAGGUAACAAUUUGUGCCAGAGAAUUAAAGACCACACCCAUCAAGCAUUGUAACAAUAAUGAUCCUUGCGUUAACCAUGUAAGGCAGUCAUGCCUAAAAUCCUGAAACAUUUUCCCUGCCCACACAUAGUACCACUUUUCUAGACAACUAUUUCAUACCUUCUUCUGUCAAGCUCUCAGCAUUUUCUGCUUCUGACUCCAUUUAGCUGUUACCUUGCAUCCUCUUUCUGUUAGAAAAGGAUUUCCCCAUGUUUCUGCCUCACAUCUACAGGGUUAUACCCUAAUACACCAUGUCCACUAUUACUGUAGGUGAAUCGUUUGAUUUAGAAGAAAGAGAAAGCCCUUUGAGGAUACUUUUUGAGGCAUUCCCUGGUGGCACAGCAGUUAAAGGAUUCUGCGUUGUCACUCCUCUGGUUAGGGUUCCAUCCCUGCGCUGGAAACUUCCACAUGCCGUGGGUAUGGCCAGAGGAGGUAAAAAAAAGAGUACUUUUUGAGUAUAGCAAUCUGAAACAUAGCUGAUUGUGAACUCCCAAAGAGGAUUGGGUUGAAAUGAGAGUGGUGAAAAUAGAAAAGAAAAGAAUGAUUUAAAAGACAUUUUUUGUCUUAAAAAAAGCUCAUACCUAUAGUAAUAUAAAUGAGAUAUUACUGGGUUUUUUGGUGUCUUUUUUUUUUUUGGCUUUGUUUUCUUUUUUUCUUGGCUAUACCCACAGCAUGUGGAAUUUCCCAGGUCAAGGACCAAACCCACGCCACAGCAGCUACCCCAGCCGCCUCAAUGACAACGCCAGGUCCUUAACCCACUGCACCGCAGGGGACACUAGAUUUUUUUUAAAUGUGUUUCUUAUUUUCAGGUAGAUUUUAAGUGUUAGGCUUUAUAAGAUAAAUCUAAACACAGUUUACAUUUAUGUUUUUAUAAGACCAUUGUUUCUACUACAUUUUAAGUAGAAUUAGUUUUGAAGUAGGAAAUCAUUGAUGAUCCAGUUUUAAAGAAUAUGUUUUACUAACCGUUGUCUCACAUAUUCCCAAAUUGUUCAAACAUGGUUUGGUAACUUACUUUUCACUGACUAAUAAAAAUAGAAUGUGCAUGGAUGGUACAGUUUACGACAGGUGUCAUUCAUUCUCUCAUUUAAUCUUGCAAAAACGUUUAUUGAGUACCUACCAUAUGACAAACACUGUUGUAGUGGCAGGUAGAUUCUUCUAUUUUAUUGUCUUUUCAGGGCUGCACCCGUGGCCCUGGGAACCUCCAUAUGCCGCGGGAGCGGCCCAAGAAAUAGCAAAAAGACAAAAAAAAAAAAAAAAAAAGAUGUAUUAGUGGAAAUCACCACCCUGAAACCAUAUCACAUGACUAUAUUAAUGAACCUGGGUAUAUAAGAAACUUUCAAUUAUAAGUUUUUGGUCACUUUAACCAAAUUCUCGCCUAAAGAAUGGCUUAGCUAGAUGCCCAGCGGAUUAAGGAGCAUUAUUACCCUGAAUCGGGGUUAUACAUCCACAACGGUGUACCCUGGCACACACAUCUUAAGCAUCAGUGCACACAUUUGUAGAUUUUUGAAGUUUUGUCUGGAAGGGACUUUUCCAACAGAACCUGUCUGGGUCAUGGAAUCACACAUGUUCUUAACUCAUGGUAAUAAUAUGUAUGUGCUCUGAUUUACAUUGAGUUUUAAUAGAAUAUCUCUCUCUUUUUUUUUUUAAAGUUCCAAGACUUAUGGCUAGGCCAAAAACUUCAGGUUUGAACUUAUCCCCCCAAACUCCUCUGACUUGCUAUUAAAGCACCUUUCAGAGACAUAGGUAAAGAGAGGGCAAGCGAAUGACUUUAGAGGAUGUUUUGUUUAACACUGUUUUUCUUUAGCUAUAUAACAUAAAUAUCUAUAAAAUAUCUGGAGAGAGGUGGCAUACAGGGUAAAAUUGUAGCAAUUUGAAAUUUCAUGUGGGAGAAGCAUUAAAAACAAGUGAGCAUCCUUAACUAUGACAGGAAGAAUCAGUAAAUGUUCUCUUUCAGUUAUUAAGGGCAGUUAGAUGUCUGAGUCAUGUUGCUUCAAGGCUGUUGUGACUUGCUCUCCAAGUCUUUUUAUUCAUCGAAGAGAUCUAGAUGCACUUGCUUUUUCGGCAUUUUAGUUCUGGUAUAAUAUGCUCUCCAUCGUGUUCUGAUGCCCAGGAGGCCUCAGCCGUGAACUCUUUAGUCCUGUUAACUACCUUGUCAGACAGGACAUGAGAUUCUGAAGAGAGGUUUUGCCGGGAGUUCCCACUGUGGCCCAACAGGUUAAGAAUCUGACUAUUAUCCAUGAGGAUUGAGGAUUCACUCAAUGGGUUAAGGAUACAAAGUUGCUGCAAGCUGCAGUGUAGGUCACAGCUCAGAUCUUGCAUUGCUUUGGCGUGGUACAGACCGGCAGCUGUAGCUCCAAUUCAACCCCUACCCUGGGAGCUUCCAUAUGCCACAGGUACAGCCAUAAAAAAAAAGAAGAAAAGAAAGCUUUGCCUCUUCUCAGACCAAGGUCAAAUAGUUGGAACAUGUCAUCUUUUAAGGAAGACGAAGUCAAAGGCAUCUACCAGGCCCUGAAUUCUCUCCCAUAAGUACUCUCUCUCUCUCCUUUUUUUUUUUUUUUUAAGGUAUAACCAGGUACCAUAUACAGUAGAUCUGUAGCAACUGGUCAUAGUUAAAGCAUUUAUAAUAAUUAAUCAAAUUGAUAUUUUCAAGCUCCUAAGGCAACCAACACCUAAAAAUGCCGCUACUAUAAUAAAUAAACCCUGACCUCUACCCCUGUUUAUCCUGAUGGCACCAACUCUUUAUAUUAUUAAAAACAGAAAACUAUGCCAGGAGACUGCCAGCCUAAAGACAAGGUGAUAGAUUUUGUUCUCUUGCAUAUCACAACUUAAUCCUAUUCCGUGUAGCAACAGUUUUCUCACAUGGCUGCUGCUGCCACACCUUCCUGGCACAUUCCUGAAGCUGCAUCCCAGCAACAUUGUGCCAGGAUGCCCUUUCAAGCUUUUAGUCUCAUAAUAAUAAGUCUCUGCCCUUAAAUUCAAGAUUUAAUGCUUGUCCUGUGCCAAACUGACCAGAUAGGAGAGUCUUCUCUUGACAGCUCCCACAUCACUCUUUCUCACCGAAUUACACUGAAUUGUGUGACACGUCUCACUAGUCACCUUUGCUCCUGCCUGUACCUUCAGGCUGUACCUUCAGUUAUGACUCGGUUCUGUUUACUGGCAAUUCAUAUCGGAGACACCAUCAGGGUGACUCAGCACCAAAGCAGGCCAUCACAACUCAUGAAAUCCUAGAGCAGUCCCUUUGGCAUUAUUUGAAGUAUUUGAAGUCUCUCAGUGUGUAUGAGUAACCUUAACAAAAGUUAGCACCGGUGCAGAAAAAAAAUUAAAAAAUCGGUAUCUCUGCUUUGUCUGUAAAACAUAACCUGUGCUCACAAUUUUGGCAAGUGCCAUCAACAAUGAGCUACACAACAUUUGCUGGGAUCCUCGUUAAAAACGCACUGUACAUGCAGUACAGCAGUCAGGUUCCUUGGUCUUUACCCAAAGGAGUUGAAAACUUGUCUACACAGAAACCUCACACCCAGUGUUUAUAGCACCUUUAUUCAUAAUUGUCAAAAUCUGGAAGUAACCAAGAUGCCUUUCAGAAGGUGGAUGGAUAAAUAAACUGUGUUAUAACCAGACAAUUAUUUUUCAGUGCCAAAAAAAAAAAAAAAAAAAAA